GUGGGGAAUAUUGGACAAUGGGCGAAAGCCUGAUCCAGCCAUGCCGCGUGUGUGAAGAAGGUCUUCGGAUUGUAAAGCACUUUAAGUUGGGAGGAAGGGCAGUAAGUUAAUACCUUGCUGUUUUGACGUUACUGACAGAAUAAGCACCGGCUAACUUCGUGCCAGCAGCCGCGGUAAUACGAAGGGUGCAAGCGUUAAUCGGAAUUACUGGGCGUAAAGCGCGCGUAGGUGGUUAUAUAAGACAGAUGUGAAAUCCCCGGGCUCAACCUGGGAACUGCCUCCAAAACUGCAUGACUAGAGUACGGUAGAGGGUAGUGGAAUUUCCUGUGUAGCGGUGAAAUGCGUAGAUAUAGGAAGGAACACCAGUGGCGAAGGCGACUACCUGGACUGAUACUGACACUGAGGUGCGAAAGCGUGGGGAGCAAACAGGAUUAGAAACCCCUGUAGUCC
rnacentral:rRNA from 1 species